UAUGGCCACAUCACGUUGAAACACCGAUUUCGGUGUGAUCACCGAAGUUAAGCAACGUCGAGCCUGGCCAGUAGCUAGAUGGAUGACCGCUUGAGAAUACCAGGUGUUAU